rnacentral:rRNA from 1 species
UACGUAGGCAGCGAGCGUUGUUCGGAGUUACUGGGCGUAAAGAGUGCGUAGGCGGUUUUCUAAGCUUGGUGUGAAAUCUCCCGGCUUAACUGGGAGGGUGCGCCGAAAACUGGAAGGCUUGAGUAUGGGAGAGGUAAGCGGAAUUCCUAGUGUAGCGGUGAAAUGCGUAGAUAUCAGGAGGAACACCUGCGGUGUAGACGGCUUACUGGACCAUAACUGACGCUGAGGCACGAAAGCGUGGGUAGCAAACAGG